GCUGCUCCAGUCCCAGGGGGUCAGGAGGCUAUGUGAGGCUGAUGUUUUUCAAUUUCUCGAGUGCCUUCAAUACAAUCCAGCCUAAAUUACUAAAGGCAAAACUGGAGAGUAUUGGAGCGGAUCCUCUAUUCACCACCUGGAUCUACA